GCUGGGUCUGGCGGCGGCGGGGUGAGCCCCCGUGGCCGGAAACCUGGACGCUAGGAGGUCUUCAUUGUCGUGAGAGAUGAGCGAGUCCACGUAAUAGUUACUGAUGGGCCCCGUCGCCGACAUCGUAACAGGGUUUUACAUACAUAAGAUUAUUGUAUGAACUGUAUAUGUACUUUUUAUCUGCUCACAGAACAAUCAAGGCAGGUAAUUAUUUUUCCAGCCUUUUCCCCGCAGCUCAUUGGUUCCCCGGCCCCCACGUGAUCGUAUUUACCCAAAAAUACGGCGCGGAUCAAUGCGCAGGGGCUUUUUUUUCCUUGCUUUUUUUUUUUUUUUCCCUUCUCCCACCCCCUUCUCUCUGCUGAUCCCCGCGACCUAUGUUUUCCUGGGGGUCCGGAACUCUGGACCCCAGGCACCGGCCACCCCCUCAGGACAACUCGUAUCUCAUCAGAGCACCCCCUUGCCCACGUCCACCCAUAAGCAGAUGGCCUCUCGCACCCCCCCCACCCUGGAGGAUUUUUUAAUGGGGUGAAAAUGCCAGUCCCCGAAGCCAGGGUUCCCGGACCCCCAGGGUCGAGCUGGGCGCGGGAGCCCCGCAGGGGCGGAGAGGCCGGCCGAGCUUGAAGAAGUGGAGGAGAGAUCAGCACAAGUUAAGUGGGGCGUCCCCAUCCUGUCUUCCUGCUCACCCUCCUUUGCCCCCAACUCCAUCUCUGCGACACCCUGCCCCCCCCCCCCAAAGAAGUCACUCCAGGGCUCUGUCUGCAGAGAGCCAGGGUGAGAGCGGGCAAGGCGAGAGAGAGCGACCUCGGUCGUGGGCAAGUAGCUUGUUUUUACGUCCUUCAAUAAAAUUUUUAUGAGGAUCA